rnacentral:misc_RNA from 1 species
GAUGAAGAACGCAGCGAAAUGCGAUACGUAAUGUGAAUUGCAGAAUUCAGUGAAUCAUCGAAUCUUUGAACGCAUAUUGCGCUCUCUGGUAUUCCGGAGAGCAUGCUUGUUUGAGUAUCAGUAAACACCUCAACUUCCAUAUCCUUUUUGAAAUGGGAGUUGGACUUGAGUGAUCCCAACGCUUUUCCUCACCGAAAAGUGGCGGGUUACUUGAAAUGCAGGUGCAGCUGGACUUUUCUCUGAGCUAUAAGCAUAUCUAUUUAGUCUGCCUAAAAACAGAUUAUUACCUUUGCUGCAGCUAACAUAAAGGAGAUUAGUUCUUGUGCUGACUGAUGCAGGAUUCACAAAGACAGGCUUCGGCCGACUUUGUAAACUCGAUCUCAAAUCAAGUAAGACUACCCGCUGAACUUAAGCAUAUCAAUAAGCGGAGGA